GACAGCAUGGUGUAGUUGUUUGAAUGUUGGACUAUGACUCGGGAGGCUAGGGUUCGAUUCCCAGCUUGGCCA